AAUCACUUAACGUAAACUUCUGUCAAUUCUCGGAAUUUUAUAUAUAUAUAUAUAUAUAUUCAAAAUUUCACACAUACCUUCUUCAAAAUGUUCAGUCGGUUUUUGGCAGUUUCUGGCGCGCCCCGAAGAGCGAAGAGGCAAAUAAUCACUACAUACAUGACAAGGACUUCCAAGUUGGAAUGAAUCCAUAAACAUACGGUGAUCGUUAUGAACAAUGCAAGUCAUAGUUGCUGUAGUGUUCAUAUAUAUAUAUAUAUAUGUGUGUGUGUGUGUGUGUGUGUGUGAUAUAUAAAAGGUCUUAAAAAUAUUUUUAGGACAUAUUUUGUACGCGUACUUCCAUAUACAAUUUUUUGAGUUGGAAGUUGGAACUUCAUCGAGUAUUUAUGGAAGUAUCUGGAAAACUUACAAAUCAUAAAUAUCCAAUUUUUAUGACAAUUUCAUAAUUUACAAGUUCUUCAGGUGCUUCUUCUUCAACAUCUACGCAAUUAAGUAAACAUUGAAUUACAAAAUCUUGCAAAAAUUUAGAAGAUAAUGAAAAUGAUCUGAUAUAAUCAAUGCAGUUGGUGUACUAAAGGAUCUUGUAUCAGCUUUAUUAGAAAAUAAUCUGUUUCUAAUGGUUAUUAUUUUUUAUCAACUAUUAAAAGCAAAUUAUUUUCUAAAAUAAUUAACAAGAAAAUUUGGAUAAAAAGAUAUAAAACUUAUUGUUGCAUCGAUUUUUCUGCAUCUUCAAUACAUAUUGUAUUUUGUAUGAUAAAUCACUUGGCAAUUCAUAGUUGAUGUAAUAACAAAAUGUUAUAAAAUACUAAUAAGUAAAAAGCAAGUCAUUUAUUAGGUAUUAUUGGCAAAUAAAUGUAUCUUCAAUCUUUUAUUAAUUACAAAGUUUUCUGUAAGGGUUAA